rnacentral:rRNA from 1 species
UACGUAGGUGGCAAGCGUUGUUCGGAUUUAUUGGGCGUAAAGUGAGCGCAGGCGGUUUCUUAAGUCUGAUGUGAAAGCCCACGGCUCAACCGUGGAGGGUCAUUGUAAACUGGGGAACUUGAGUGUAGAAGAGGAGAGUGGAAUUCCAUGUGUAGCGGUGAAAUGCGUAGAUAUAUGGAGGAACACCAGUGGCGAAGGCGACUCUCUGGUCUGUAACUGACGCUGAGGCUCGAAAGCGUGGGUAGCAAACAGG